rnacentral:lncRNA from 1 species
GAACAGAGGAGCAGUCAAGAGCACUGGCUCCUCUCCUAGAGGACUGAGGCUUGAUUCCCAGCACCUAUAUGGCAUUUCACAACUGUAACUCCAGUUCCAAGGAAUCUAACACCCUCUUCUGAUCUCUGGGCACCAGACAUGCACAUGGUGCAUGGACAGACAUGCAGGCAAAACACUUAUACACAUGUAGUAAUAAGUUUAAUAAGAUUGUCAUAUUGUUCAUAAAUAGAGAUUUGGCUUCAUUUGACUUCUGUUUUCUUUCCUCAGUGCUCAGGGUUGAACCAAGGAGCUUAUGUUUGGUAGGCAAGUGGUGUACCACUGAACUGAAGCCAUAGAGUUCUAUCUCCAUUCUCUUCCUACAUUUUCCAGCUAAGAAUGCAAGAGAUGUCUAUGGCAAUGUAGAGAAGGUAGACACCUGGUGUAACUUCUGAUAGUUGAAGAGAUGCUUUUAGUUUUCCUGUUCAGUAUAAUCUUGGCUCUAGUUUUGUCAUGUGUAACAUCUCUUACAGUGAGGUGUCUUCCUAAUUUCAGGAUAUUUUCAUCAGGGAACAUAGAGCAUUGAUGUUUUCUCUGUGUAUUGAGGCUCUCAAUCCUUGAAUAUCUAUAUUCUCUACAUUUGCUAAUUGAUAUUUGUGGAAACAUGCUUAGAUGCAAAGAAUUCACCCCAUUAUAGUUGGUGAUGUUUUUAUUAUGUUGACUUGGUUUGAGAAUAUAAUCUUGAAAUUUUUUUUCUAUUUUCAUUCAGGAAAUUGUGUUACAGUUUUCUUUGUUGUUGAGCCCUUCAUGGUUUUGGCAUCAUGGUAAUCCUACUACCUUUUAAGAAUAACUUACUUAGUGUUUCUUCCCUUUAUAUUUAGUGAAAUCGUUUGGGAAGCUUGGUAGAAUUCAUUGGAGAAUUUGUCAAGUCCUGUGCUUUCCUUGUGGAGACAAUUCAUUUCUAGCUUAAGGAUGUUGUUGCCCUUUUACAUUGUUCACAUUCCCUUGACUUGUUUUUCCAUCUGUUUGUUUUGUUUUAUCAUUGAUUGAGAAUUUUAUACAUGUACAUAAUGCAUUUUGAUCGAGCCCACACACUCCCAUUCCUUUCUCUCUAAUUCUUCCAUCCUUCCCACCACUCAAGUUCUCAAUUUCAUCUGUUCUUUUAUUUUUAACCUACAGUCAGUCUCCUUAGUGCUUCCAGUAUAUACAUGGGCGCAGUGCUAUCUUCUGUGGCAUGAGUAGCCUCUCCCUGAACAAACCCACCUCUCUUUUACUCAGCAGUCAUCAAUUGCCAAUAACUACUCAGGAGUGGGCCUUUCUGCACACCUCUCACUUCCGUGCUGGGACAGUUGUCUGGCUUGAACUUGUGUAUGCCGUCACAGCUGUUGUCAGUUAGUAUGUGCAACUGUCCUGUUGUAUCGAGAACACACUGUUUGACUGUAAUAAUCCACUUUCUGGCUCUCGCAGUCCUUUGGCUUCCUAAUCCAUAAUAAUCCCUGGUCCUUUGAGAGAAGAAAUGUAUUGUAGGUAGAUGCUCCAUUUAGAGCUGAGCCCUUCAAAAUCUCUUACUCUCUGCAUGUUGACCCAUUGUGAGGCUCUUAAUUGCCAUCGACGUCAAAGACAACAAAGCCCAUCUUCUGUGACGAAGAUAAAUUUUCAAUGGGUAAAGAUACAUACCCUUUAACAGAAUAAUAGUAGAUUAGUAGAAAGUUCUCCACAUUAAUGCUGCCAGACUUGCGUUUUAUCUUGUGGAUUGUGUGAAAUGGGCCUGAAAUCCAGUCAAAAAGUGGUUGGUUAUUCUAACAUCCAUGCCAUGCUCAUGGCCAUGUCUUGUCAGACUGAUCUGUAAUUGUAGCUCAGAGGCUUCUCAGUCGGGUGAACUUGAUGUUAGGUCUUCUCCCCUGGUAGCAUGCACAGCAUCAUCUAGCACUAUGACAGCUAGCCAGAAGGAUGAAGCUUCUAGGGCAGUAUAAGCUAUGAUUUCCUAAUUGCUCUAUGACUUGAUGUGUGGUGUUUUCAGUAAUAAGGUCUUACUGUCAAGUUCUGUGUGGUAACCAAGAACAAUCGCAAUAGCCUAUGAUAUGUGGAGGGGGAGGCUUGUGAAACCUCCAACUUUGGCCUAAUUUUGAUAUUUCAUAUAUGUCUUGAAAUUCUUCACGAUUUUCCAGUUUAUUGUAUGUUUUCAAAGAAUCCUCAGAUCAUUCUCUGGAUUUCAUUUUCUAUGUAUUAUAAUCUCUCUCUUUUCUGCUCUAACUUUAUUCAUAUGAAUAAGUAUAUAAAAGAAAUCAUAAGAUAAUGAAGUACUUAAAUUUUUUAACUAUUAUGACGGCCUGAAAGUUGUGUGAGGAGCAGCUACAGGGUUGAAGUUUUUUGAGUGGUCACCCCUUCUCAGUGUACUUUUUGGUGAUGCAACUGACUUUGAGUCACCCUUAUUCCUGUAAGUAAUCCCUUAUUGAUACUCCUGUAAGUAAAUCUCAAUAAAAUCAUUGUUCUCCAACUUGA